UGAAGUCGGAAUUGCUAGUAAUCGCGGAUCAGCAUGCCGCGGUGAAUACGUUCCCGGGCCUUGUACACACCGCCCGUCACACCAUGGGAGCCGGUAAUACCCGAAGUCAGUAGUCCAACCUCGUGAGGACGCUGCCGAAGGUAGGAUUGGCGACUGGGGUGAAGUCGUAACAAGGUAUC
rnacentral:rRNA from 1 species